AAAGGUAUGGCUGACAAGGGCUUUUUAAGCUUACGGCAAAUUGAAGACUAAGACUAGCCACCCAACAUGGGUUAUGACGCGCGCGCAAAAUCAAAGUUCUAGAAUUUGUGACGUCAUAAUCAUAACUGAAUACAAAACGAAUCGAGCCUAAACGAUAGCAUCAUGGAAGUGACAAAAGACGUUGUCUAUAUUUGGGUAAUCAAUUUACUUGGAGGUGAAACUCAGAAGAUUUUGGCGAAUUUACGAUAAAUUUCGCUAUAUUUCAGUCAUCACCAGCGUGGAAAUUCAAAAGGCGAUUCUACACAUACACAUACGGGGAGAUGGAUUUGGAUUUGAUUAUAAAUGGUUAGCUGGUAAGGAACAUAGUUUUUAAUUUUUUUAUUAUUUUUGUUUGAACAGAUCAGAAACUGGUCCAAAAAAUAAUGCAGAUCCCAAAA